rnacentral:rRNA from 1 species
CCCUUAGAUGUUCUGGGCCGCACGCGCGCUACACUGAUGCAUUCAACGAUUCUAAAACCUGCUCUGAUAGGGGUGGGUAAUCUUUUGAAUGUGCAUCGUGAUUGGGAUAGAUGAUUGCAAUUUUUCAUCUUCAACGAGGAAUGCCUAGUAAACGCAAGUCAUCAGCUUGCAUUGAUUACGUCCCUGCCCUUUGUACACACCGCCCGUCGCUCCUACCGAUUGAAUGAUCCGAUGAAUAUCAUGGAUUGAGGAUGCAAGUAGGUUCGCCUAUCUUCAUCUUCGAGAAGUGAAGUAAAUCUUAUCAUUUAGAGGAAGGAGAAGUCGUAACA